AUUGAACGCUGGCGGCAUGCUUUACACAUGCAAGUUGAACGGCAGCACGGACUUCGGUCUGGUGGCGAGUGGCGAACGGGUGAGUAAUACAUCGGAACGUACCCAGUAAUGGGGGAUAACUAUCCGAAAGGAUAGCUAAUACCGCAUACGCCCUACGGGGGAAAGAGGGGGAUCGCAAGACCUCUUGUUAUUGGAGCGGCCGAUGGCUGAUUAGCUAGUUGGUAGGGUAAAGGCCUACCAAGGCAACGAUCAGUAGCGGGUCUUAGAGGACGAUCCGCCGCACUGGAACUGAGACACGGUCCAGACUCCUACGGGAGGCAGCAGUGGGGAAUCUUGGACAAUGGGCGCAAGCCUGACCCAGCAAUGCCGCGUGCGUGAAGAAGGCCUUCGGGUUGUAAAGCGCUUUUGUCAGGGAGCAAAUCCUUGUGGCUAAUACCCACCGGGGAUGAGAGUACCUGAAGAAUAAGGACCGGCUAACUACGUGCCAGCAGCCGCCGCGGUAA
rnacentral:rRNA from 1 species